UUGGCCGAAUUCCCAAUAAGAAUCUCCUCUCUCUUUGAACAAAAAAAAAAAAGAAUCUCCUCUCUCUCUCUCUUGUCGUUCUUGAGAGUUGUUCAAUACACACUGUUUUUGAUAAAACUUAGAAAAAGUUGUUAAGCAGAAACAUUCAAAGGUGAAACAAUCUCUUUAUUUUAUUCCUUUGGGGAUAUCCAUCUUAUCUUUUCCUAUCUUUCUCGCCGCUGGUACUUCCCGGCGAUCUCGUCCUCUUCCCUUUAGAACUCAUCAAACUCCCCUCUGGUUCUCUUACAUUUUGCCCCUCCAAAGGUUGUGAAGCUGAACUACGAUUCUCGGUUACUUCUCUGAGCUUUUGGAGUUCUCUUUUCCAGACACCUUCAGGAGUUGAGGUUGAAAAUGGAAGAUCCAAUAGGAAGCUAUGAUCUUCCAAUUCUCUCCCGAUUGUUUGAUAUUUUUCUUUCACCUCCUCAUAAAGCUCGGCAUAACUCCUCCUCUCUCUCUCUGUCAAAUCUGAAUUCUCCAUUCAUAAACAUCUGUCACCAAAGCGACUCUGCAUUCGAGCCUAUCAAACUCUGCAUUCAGCUUCUCCAGCAUAAGUUUCUGUAAAAAAAAAAAAGAAAACAACAUUAUAACUAGUUUAAUAAACAAGAAAAAAAAAAAUUACCGCCUGGGCUCUGCUUUCUUUCCUCCUUCAUCGUUUAAGCUGACAGUGAAUGCAUAAUCAUCGUCCUCCUCGGGAAACAGUAUCCUUGCUUCCGGAGAAAGCUUAGUGCCAAGGUAUCUUGGAUGUGCAGCAUCUUUUCCACCCUACAAUGUCCACGAGCUUAGAUCAACAAGGAGAUGAAUAACUUGCUCUAUUAGCUAGCUAUACAUACCGCAUUCCGUGUACCAGAUUGCCCAGGGAUUCAAGUAAUGGCAUGUUGUUACUACCAACAUGAUCCUGCCCCAUCUUAAUGAUUGUACUGUUGAGGCUUUUGUCACUGUGCUCUGAUACAGACUGGCAGCAGUAUGGUCUAGCGUGUUUUUUUUUUCUUGUAUGUUGUAAAACGAUUUUAAGAAAGUGAUUUGAGUGAUA